GAUAAACGCUGGCGGCGUGCCUAAAACAUGCAAGUCGAACGGGUGACUUCGGUCACCAGUGGCGAACGGCUGAGUAACGCGUGGGUGACCUCGCUCCGAGUGGGGGAUAACUGCCCGAAAGGGUGGCUAAUACCGCAUGUGCUCGUGGGAUCGUUCCUACGCGCAAAGUCGCAAGACGCUUGGAGAUGGGCCCGCGUCCGAUUAGCUUGUUGGUGGGGUGACGGCCUACCAAGGCGACGAUCGGUAGCUGGUCUCAGAGGAUGAUCAGCCAGACUGGGACUGCGACACGGCCCAGACUCCUACGGGAGGCAGCAGUUAGGAAUUUUGGGCAAUGGGCGAAAGCCUGACCCAGCAACGCCGCGUGGGGACGAAGGCC
rnacentral:rRNA from 1 species